GGGGGCGUAGCUCAGAUGGUAGAGCGCUCGCUUAGCAUGCGAAAGGUACCGGGACCGAUACCCGGCGCCUCCA
rnacentral:tRNA from 1 species